CGCGCGGGGCGGGGCAGGGCGGGAGGCGCGCGCGGCGUGACGCAGCGCGGCCGCUGAGGCGGGCGCGGCAGCAUGGAGGCGCGGCUGCCCUACGACGACUACCCGGUGGUCUUCCUGCCGCCCUACGAGAGCCCGCCCGCCUGGGUGCCGCCGCACGAGCGCGUUUAUCACCCCGACUACAACAACGAGCUGACGCAGUUCUUGCCCCGCACCAUCGUCCUCAAGAAGCCCCCCGGGGCGCAGCUGGGUUUCAACAUCCGUGGAGGAAAGGCCUCGCAGCUGGGGAUCUUCAUCUCUAAGAGGGUCAGUGCUGCUGCGUCUGCUCCUGCGUUCUCAGGUGAUCCCCGACUCGGAUGCACACAGAGCUGGGCUGCAGGAAGGAGACCAGGUGCUCUCAGUGAACGAUGUGGAUUUCCAGGACAUUGAGCACAGCAAGGCUGUGGAGAUCCUGAAGACAGCCCGUGAAAUCACCAUGCGCGUACGUUACUUCCCCUACAAUUACCAGAGACAGAAGGAAAGAACUGUCCACUAAUAAAGAGCUGCCUGCUGGGGCCUCUCCAGAGUGGCUGUCCUGCAAAACUGUCUCCACUACCUUUCCUCAAUAUCCAAGAUGACGCAUCAAGUUUCAGCUGUCACUGGAGGUACAACUGUCCUGUUGGCUGCAUGGGCACCAGCUCCGCUUCCUACUUGGAGGGACACUACAGAGUCUUAAUUAUCUGGAAGAUGGAUGGAGCUUUAGUCUGCACUCCUUGAUUUAGGUCUUGAAACAAGCUCUUGGUGCUGAUGUGGAAAUGGGUACUGGAGGGCAGCGUCUUUAGUGAUACCUGUGUUUCUAUUCUAGUAGGACUUACUUUCAAAGAGUGCUCUGAUGGUUCUGGAUCAACCCUUGCUUCUAAGGUGUAAGGCCAAGAACAUUCAAGUGUGCUCAAGCAGAGCAUGGCCAUAGUUUCCAAGGGAUCAGCCGGUUCAUUUCCUUUCUGGUGACACAAAAUCCUUUCCCCCUGCACUGUCCUACCUCUGCUCUAGACUACUGGGUUUCAAGGAAAAGGAGUAAAAUCCAGUCAAAGUCAAAGCACAUCUCUAGCUGUUCUGCACUGCUCUACCAAGGCAUUGUGUUUGUACCUCUCUGCUGGUUAGAGCCCCCGCAUUACGGGAUCAGGAUGCUUGGAGCAUGUUUCUAAACUCUGCUGUGGACACUUGGCAAGGUCCCUUCUGAUGCACUGCUUGUGUGUUUAAGGGUUUCACCUGCGGGAGCUGCUUCCUUCACUUGGCACAGCCCUGUCUGUCCCUCUCAAUCAGAACUCCCUGCCACUUUGCGGGAAACUCCUCCCCUUCCCUGUUCCUCACACACCAUAUCUCCUGCUGGGGCAAUUCACCCACCUGCUAUUAAAUCGGUCAGAUGCUGGCUGUUCUACACAGAAAAGAGAAAGCCUGCUGUGCCCUGUGCAGGGAGAGCACAGAUGAAAGAACACACUAGUUACCAGCAAAGCUGGGCGCAAAUGCACAGGGCUACACCACUUAGCAUAUGGGAUGGGAACAGCCCUUGCUCUGACCUUCUAUGCACUGUUUUCCAUUUGCCUGUAAUAACUGAAAUAAAACUAGUAUAGCAACUGGA